ensembl:snoRNA
UAGCACUGGCAAGUGACCCAUUCGGCUCUCCAUUGACCAAGUGGGCAUCGAGCAGUGCAAAAGCAAACCCCCCCAAAAGCUGGGAAAGCCACACUGUGGGCUCUUCCCUCAUACAGGUGGGUACAUAA